rnacentral:rRNA from 1 species
AUUGAACGCUGGCGGAAUGCUUUACACAUGCAAGUCGAACGGCAGCACGGGGCAACCUGGUGGUGAGUGGCGAACGGGUGAGUAAUACAUCGGAACGUGCCCAAUCGUGGGGGAUAACGUAGCGAAAGUUACGCUAAUACCGCAUACGAUCUACGGAUGAAAGCGGGGGAUCGCAAGACCUCGCGCGAAUGGAGCGGCCGAUGUCAGAUUAGGUAGUUGGUGGGGUAAAGGCUCACCAAGCCGACGAUCUGUAGCUGGUCUGAGAGGACGACCAGCCACACUGGGACUGAGACCCGGCCCAGACUCCUACGGGAGGCAGCAGUGGGGAAUUUUGGACAAUGGGCGCAAGCCUGAUCCAGCCAUUCCGCGUGCAGGAUGAAGGCCUUCGGGUUGUAAACUGCUUUUGUACGGAGCGAAAAGGCUCUCUCUAAUACAGGGGGCUCAUGACGGUACCGUAAGAAUAAGCACCGGCUAACUACGUGCCAGCAGCCGCCGUAACAC